rnacentral:rRNA from 1 species
AGCGAACGCUGGCGGCAGGCCUAACACAUGCAAGUCGAGCGCCGUAGCAAUACGGAGCGGCAGACGGGAGAGUAACACGUGGGAACGUACCCUUCAGUACGGAACAACCAAGGGAAACUUUGGCUAAUACCGUAUACGUCCGUAAGGAGAAAGAUUUAUCGCUGAAGGAUCGGCCCGCGUCUGAUUAGCUUGUUGGUGAGGUAACGGCUCACCAAGGUGACGAUCAGUAGCUGGUCUGAGAGGAUGAUCAGCCUCACUGGGACUGAGACACGGCCCAGACGCCUACGGGAGGCAGCAGUGGGGAAUAUUGGACAAUGGGCGCAAGCCUGAUCCAGCCAUGCCGCGUGGGUGAUGAAGGCCCUAGGGUUGUAAAGCCCUUUCGGCGGGGAAGAUAAUGACGGUACCCGCAGAAGAAGCCCCGGCUAACUUCGUGCCAGCAGCCGCGGUAAAAC